rnacentral:rRNA from 1 species
AUUGAACGCUGGCGGCAGGCCUAACACAUGCAAGUCGAACGGUAGCACAGAGAGCUUGCUCUCGGGUGACGAGCGGCGGCCGGGUGAGUAAUGUCUGGGAAACUGCCCGAUGGAGGGGGAUAACUACUGGAAACGGUAGCUAAUACCGCAUAACGUCGCAAGACCAAAGUGGGGGACCUUCGGGCCUCCCACCAUCGGAUGUGCCCAGAUGGGAUUAGCUAGUAGGUGGGGUAAUGGCUCACCUAGGCGACGAUCCCUAGCUGGUCUGAGAGGAUGACCAGCCACACUGGAACAGAGACACGGGCCAGACUCCUACGGGAGUCAGCAGUGGGGAAUAUUGCACAAUGGGCGCAAGCCUGAUGCAGCCAUGCCGCGUGUAUGAAGAAGGCCGUCGGGUUGUAAAGUACUUUCAGCGGGGAGGAAGGCGGUGAAGUUAAUAACUUCACCGAUUGACGUUACCCGCAGAAGAAGCACCGGCUAACUCCGUGCCAGCAGCCGCGGUAA